GAUGAACGCUAGCGGCAGGCUUAAUACAUGCAAGUCGAGGGGCAGCACGGUUAGCAAUAACUGGUGGCGACCGGCGCACGGGUGCGUAACACGUAUACAAUCUACCUUAAACAGGGGGAUAGCCUUUCGAAAGAGAGAUUAAUACCCGUAAUAAAUUGAACGGCAUCGUUUGAUUUUGAAAGCUCCGGCGGUUUGAGAUGAGUAUGCGUCUGAUUAGCUAGUUGGUGAGGUAACGGCUCACCAAGGCGACGAUCAGUAGGGGAUCUGAGAGGACUAACCCCCACACUGGUACUGAGACACGGACCAGACUCCUACGGGAGGCAGCAGUAAGGAAUAUUGGUCAAUGGAGGCAACUCUGAACCAGCCAUGCCGCGUGCAGGAUGACGGCCCUAUGGGUUGUAAACUGCUUUUAUACAAGAGAAAACCCUGGUACGUGUACCAGGUUGAUAGUAUUGUAAGAAUAAGCAUCGGCUAAACUUCGUGCCAGCAGCCGCGGUAAU
rnacentral:rRNA from 1 species